AUCCAGCUGACGAGUGCCAAAUAGGACGAAACGCGCAUCCUGGAU
rfam:Schistosoma mansoni strain Puerto Rico chromosome 5, complete genome